GUCCACGCCCUAAACGAUGUCAACUGGUUGUUGGUGUGGUUAAACCCAUUAGUAACGAAGCUAACGCGUGAAGUUGACCGCCUGGGGAGUACGGCCGCAAGGUUAAAACUCAAAGGAAUUGACGGGGGCCCGCACAAGCGGUGGAGCAUGUGGUUUAAUUCGACGCAACGCGAAGAACCUUACCAAGCCUUGACAUGUCCGGACGGGUUCCAGAAAUGGGAUCUUCCCAGCAAUGGGUCGGAACACAGGUGCUGCAUGGCUGUCGU
rnacentral:rRNA from 1 species